CACGUAGGGCGCGAGCGUUGUCCGGAAUUAUUGGGCGUAAAGAGCUCGUAGGCGGCCUGUUGCGUCCGCUGUGAAAGCCCGGGGCUUAACCCCGGGUCGGCAGUGGAUACGGGGCAGGCUAGAGGUAGGUAGGGGAGAAUGGAAUUCCCGGUGUAGCGGUGAAAUGCGCAGAUAGUCGGGAGGAACACCGGUGGCGAAGGCGGUUCUCUGGGCCUUACCUGACGCUGAGGAGCGAAAGCGUGGGGAGCGAAGCAGG
rnacentral:rRNA from 1 species